GCCUGGCUGGCUUAGUUGGUAGAGCAUGAAACUCUUGAUCUCAGGAUUGUGAGUUCAAGCCCAUGCUAGAUG
rnacentral:tRNA from 1 species